rnacentral:misc_RNA from 1 species
UUUCUGUGAUCCUCAUAGGCGAGGUUUGUGCUAGUUUUCAUUUAGAAAGCAGUACUUCUGUAUAGUAUUAUUUCAGUCAUCAAAUGCUGAACGAGUUAUUAAAUGUUGAUCUCUCUUUCUUCUUCUUCUUCCUCCUUUUUUGUUGUGUUUUUUCUUCCAAUGUUCAAAUCUUAGCAGUAAUUACUUAUGUUCUAUGGUGUUGUUAUAUCGGAAGCUGUGGAUUCUCUUAGAUGUUUCUAUACUAUGUGAACUAUGAAUGCCAGAUUGGGUUUUCAAAUUUUGGAAUUGUUCUUUUGUGGGUGCAAGGGAAUCUAUGUUUGAUGAACAAUCAAGUAUUCAUGCAUCAGGUCCCAUUAUAUGAACAUGUUACUGGUUGGUGAUGGCUAGGAGUGCUAUUAGACUAAUAGAUUUGUGAAAGUAAGUUGAUUGUUCUGGUUGAAUAUACGCAAAUGCAUAUAAAUGUCUUGAUUGUGCAUGAAUUUCUAGGCUUUGAAAGGGAUUGGGCACAUAUAGCAACCUACCUUUGGAGAAAGGAAAUGCUAGUUUGAUGCCCGGAGGAGAAAGGAAAAGAAUUUAAUGUUCUGAUUUGUUCACUUUUAUCUUUACUUUUUUGGUUUUUAACUUUGCAUUUAUAUAGUUUGAUGAUGACCUUUUGGGCAUCUUUUAU